rnacentral:pre_miRNA from 8 species
CUGGAAUCUUCUGUCCUGGCUCCCCCUCUCUAAUCCUUGCUACCUGGGUGAGAGUGCUUUCUGAAUGCAAUGCACCUGGGCAAGGAUUCUGAGAGAGGGAGCACCAUCUUCGCCUAGAACAA